CUGUAUAUAGGAGUUUACUUGAUCAGCAUCACAAAUUUGCUUACAUUUGAUUAGUUUUUAUUGAAAUAUAAGCUUAGCUUAUGUUUCUAGAAACAAAAUAGCUGCUUGAGGGCAUUGCCAAGAGUAUAGUAUAUGAUGUGCCUUAAACAACUGAUCUUGGCUCCAUCCAUCUCUUGAUUUCAAUAUUUAAUUAGCAAAAGACCAACAAUAAUAAUAAUAAUAAAAAAUGUUCAAGAGUUCAAGUGACAGGGUAACACUUGGAGAUGUGUGAUGGGGCAAAAUAGCAGAAAUAAGAGUGUGGGCCAGUGAAGACAGUUACCUGCUGACUGACUGAACUAUGCUGAGAUUUCAGCCUGGACACGUCCUCCUCCAGCUGCUGGAUCUGCUUAGUCUGUGAACACACAUGCACAAAGAUCAUGAAAUUCGCAUCACAAUUGUUUACCAUCAAACACAGAAAUGUUUUGAGAAGGAGACAAUAACCAGAGCAAAAAUGGUAGCUCAGAAGAAAACAGAGCAGGGAGAAAAUGGCUGCACUGUUCUGUCAUAAUGAGAAGCGGAGGUGUGUGUGUGUGUGUGUGUGUGUCGGGUUCCCCUGCUCUGCUCUCAUCACAUCUGCUGUCAGUAAUCUGUUCCUGAGCAAGCAGUGCUGGGAUUAAGUGCAUGCUGCAGAUAAAGGAUGUAUGCGUCAUUAAAACACACAAGACAGACACGUACACACUCACAGAACCACCGGGCGUGAAGGGGAGUCAGAACCAGGUGGAGAACGACCAGCCAGGACAAAACGAGGAGCUCCUUCCUAAACGAGGGACUACAUCUGUAGCAUGGACACGCGUUUUUAAGCACUGCAGUUUCAACCGAUUUUAACUCAUUGAAACACACAAACAAAUAACAGAGCUAUAUGCGUGCGCCAUCUCUGUUUCUGUGUGAGAGGAGCUCACAUUUUUUUGCUGCAUUAUUGGCUUUGAACGAUUACACACUUAUAUGUGUCAGAAUCCCUGUCUUUGCAAGUAUCCUCAUAAAUGCAGUGAUUUAGGUGGUAAGAUAGAGUAAACAGCUGAAAAAGAAAAUGCAUAUGUAACAGUAUAUUGGAUCCGGACUUUGUCUUAAAGGGGAAGCUGUCCAAUGUUCAUCCUGUUAUCAUGAUAUAAAAUUAGUCAUAUCGUGAUUGGUUCCAAUUAUUAUAUUUUUUAUUAUUAUUAUUUUACUACUAUUCAUAUGUCAGGGGUUACAGGGAUAAUUCAUGUACUAUAGUAUUGUUCUAAAUACUGA
ensembl:lncRNA